ensembl:snRNA U5 U5 spliceosomal RNA
AUACUGGGGUUUCUCUUCAGAUCGUAUAAAUCUUUUGCCUUUUACUAAAGAUUUCCNUGGAGAGGAACAUUUAUGAGCUUUUAACUAAA